rnacentral:rRNA from 1 species
CAAGUCGAACGGAAAGGCCCUGCUUUUGUGGGGUGCUCGAGUGGCGAACGGGUGAGUAACACGUGAGUAACCUGCCCUUGACUUUGGGAUAACUUCAGGAAACUGGGGCUAAUACCGGAUAGGAGCUCCUGCUGCAUGGUGGGGGUUGGAAAGUUUCGGCGGUUGGGGAUGGACUCGCGGCUUAUCAGCUUGUUGGUGGGGUAGUGGCUUACCAAGGCUUUGACGGGUAGCCGGCCUGAGAGGGUGACCGGCCACAUUGGGACUGAGAUACGGCCCAGACUCCUACGGGAGGCAGCAGUGGGGAAUAUUGCACAAUGGGCGGAAGCCUGAUGCAGCAACGCCGCGUGCGGGAUGACGGCCUUCGGGUUGUAAACCGCUUUCGCCUGUGACGAAGCGUGAGUGACGGUAAUGGGUAAAGAAGCACCGGCUAACUACGUGCCAGCAGCCGCGGUGAUACGUAGGGUGCGAGCGUUGUCCGGAUUUAUUGGGCGUAAAGGGCUCGUAGGUGGUUGAUCGCGUCGGAAGUGUAAUCUUGGGGCUUAACCCUGAGCGUGCUUUCGAUACGGGUUGACUUGAGGAAGGUAGGGGAGAAUGGAAUUCCUGGUGGAGCGGUGGAAUGCGCAGAUAUCAGGAGGAACACCAGUGGCGAAGGCGGUUCUCUGGGCCUUUCCUGACGCUGAGGAGCGAAAGCGUGGGGAGCGAACAGGCUUAGAUACCCUGGUAGUCCACGCUGUAAACGGUGGGUACUAGGUGUGGGGUCCAUUCCACGGGUUCCGUGCCGUAGCUAACGCUUUAAGUACCCCGCCUGGGGAGUACGGCCGCAAGGCUAAAACUCAAAGGAAUUGACGGGGCCCCGCACAAGCGGCGGAGCAUGCGGAUUAAUUCGAUGCAACGCGUAGAACCUUACCUGGGUUUGACAUGGAUCGGGAGUGCUCAGAGAUGGGUGUGCCUCUUUUGGGGUCGGUUCACAGGUGGUGCAUGGCUGUCGUCAGCUCGUGUCGUGAGAUGUUGGGUUAAGUCCCGCAACGAGCGCAACCCUUGUUCACUGUUGCCAGCACGUUAUGGUGGGGACUCAGUGGAGACCGCCGGGGUCAACCCGGAGGAAGGUGGGGAUGACGUCAAGUCAUCAUGCCCCUUAUGUCCAGGGCUUCACGCAUGCUACAAUGGCUGGUACAGAGAGUGGCGAGCCUGUGAGGGUGAGCGAAUCUCGGAAAGCCGGUCUCAGUUCGGAUUGGGGUCUGCAACUCGACCUCAUGAAGUCGGAGUCGCUAGUAAUCGCAGAUCAGCAACGCUGCGGUGAAUACGUUCCCGGGGCUUGUACACACCGCCCGUCAAGUCAUGAAAGUUGGUAACACCCGAAGCCGGUGGCCUAACCGUUGUGGGGGAGCCGU